UCCACNGCAAAAGACUAUGUGAAGAGCCANCAGGUGUUUUGAAUCCUAGACAGUCUUCAAGCCCUGUUCAAACCCAGCAAAAACUUUCAAACCAAUUAGGAAGCAAGAUAAAUGAAACACAUUACUAAGCAGGUACUGGCACGUGCUUUGUGAACAAGAGAGGAAGCCAAGUAAUUUGUCUGACAUCCCAGCUUUGAAAAACUACCUCCCCACUAAAAAAAAUAAAAUAAAAAAGUUGUCAUUCAUUGCAAUCUAAAAUUUCACAAAGUGCAGUGAGUACAGCUGGAUUCUGAAUUUCUGAUAGAAGCUGUGAAGAAAAGGGUCAUUAUUUUGGGACACCCCAGGCAGACCAUGGGCAUCGGGAACAUCUAAAGAAUUAUACUUUGCGCAAGCAAAACAAAGGAUGAUUACAGACCUCUGCCCUUUGGUAUUCUCAGAGCAGUCUUUGUGGGACAAGCUGGACAGCAACUGGUACAAAAUCAGGAAGGUGUAGGAGGACUCAGAGACUUAGAAGAUCUGUACCAAGAAGCCUCCAUGGGUCUUAUUGUGUCAGUGCCAGGUUGUCAGUCACAUUGUAGAUGACAUCACUCAGACAUCUGCUUUACAGAUGGACUUCUAAGUU
rnacentral:lncRNA from 1 species